rnacentral:rRNA from 1 species
AACGAACGCUGGCGGCAUGCCUAACACAUGCAAGUCGAACGAGACCUUCGGGUCUAGUGGCGCACGGGUGCGUAACGCGUGGGAACCUGCCCUUAGGUUCGGAAUAACUCCCCGAAAGGGGUGCUAAUACCGGAUAAUGUCUUCGGACCAAAGAUUUAUCGCCUUUGGAUGGGCCCCCGUUGGAUUAGCUAGUUGGUAGGGUAAAAGCCUACCAAGGCGACGAUCCAUAGCUGGUCUGAGAGGAUGAUCAGCAACACUGGGACUGAGACACGGACCAGACUCCUACGGGAGGCAGCAGUGGGGAAUAUUGGACAAUGGGCGAAAGCCUGAUCCAGCAAUGCCGCGUGAGUGAUGAAGGCCUUAGGGUUGUAAAGCUCUUUUACCCGGGAUGAUAAUGACAGUACCGGGAGAAUAAGCUCCGGCUAACUCCGUG